UACGAAGGGUGCAAGCGUUACUCGGAAUUACUGGGCGUAAAGCGUGCGUAGGUGGUGAGUUAAGUCUGUCGUGAAAGCCCCGGGCUCAACCUGGGAAUGGCGAUGGAUACUGGCUCGCUAGAGUGCGGUAGAGGAGAGUGGAAUUCCCGGUGUAGCAGUGAAAUGCGUAGAGAACGGGAGGAACAUCAGUUGCGAAGGCGGCUCUCUGGACCAGCACUGACACUGAGGCACGAAAGCGUGGGGAGCAAACAGG
rnacentral:rRNA from 1 species